AUGAUUCUUAGAGAUAGCAGUGGCCACAUUGUUUUCUCAUCUUGCCGUCACCUUUUCUCAUGUGUGAGCGCACUGGAAGCUGAAGUAGAAGCUUGCAAAGAGGGUGUUGCACUAGCACUAGAGUGGAGCACUCUACCCUUCAUACUGGAAACAGGCUGCUCCGUUGCUGCAGCCAUGAUUGUGCAGCCGGAGGUGAACAUAUCUCCUGUGUCUAAUUUAGUCCAGGAAAUCAAGCACUUGCUAGCUAGAGGUAGAAGUCACACGGUAGCUGCUAUUAGCCGAGUGCAAAAUAGUGUCAGUCAUAUGCUAGCAAAAAUUGGACGCACUGGCCUUAGAACGACAGUGUGGUUAAGGUCUGGUCCGGAGGAGAUUGUAAACUUAUGUGCCGCGGAUCAAAUUGAUCCGAUUUAA
rnacentral:rRNA from 1 species